UCUUCAAGAAUUUUCUUGAGAAUGUGCAA
rnacentral:piRNA from 1 species